rnacentral:misc_RNA from 1 species
GAUGAAGAACGUAGUGAAAUGCGAUAAGUAAUGCGAAUUGCAGAAUUUCUAGUGAGUCAUCGAAUCUUUGAACGCACAUUGCGCCCUUUGGUAUUCCGAAGGGCAUGCCUGUUCGAGCGUCAUUAUCAACCCUCAAGCCUGGCUUGUUGUUGGACCUCAGGUCGCCGCUCCGGGCGGACCGGUCUCAAAGACAAUGACGGCGUCCGUGGGACCCUCGGUGCAAUGAGCUUCUUCCAAAGCACGCAUCCAGAGUGGGCUCGCGGGGGCCGUCUCCCCGUCAUAUUUUAUCAAGGUUGACCUCGGAUCAGGUAGGAAUACCCGCUGAACUUAAGCAUAUCAAUAAGCGGAGGA